rnacentral:rRNA from 1 species
GACGAACGCUGGCGGCGUGCUUAACACAUGCAAGUCGAACGGAAAGGCCCUGCUUGCAGGGUACUCGAGUGGCGAACGGGUGAGUAACACGUGGGUGAUCUGCCCUGCACUUCGGGAUAAGCCUGGGAAACUGGGUCUAAUACCGGAUAGGAGCCAUUUUUAGUGUGAUGGUUGGAAAGUUUUUUCGGUGUAGGAUGAGCUCGCGGCCUAUCAGCUUGUUGGUGGGGUAAUGGCCUACCAAGGCGGCGACGGGUAGCCGGCCUGAGAGGGUGGACGGCCACAUUGGGACUGAGAUACGGCCCAGACUCCUACGGGAGGCAGCAGUGGGGAAUAUUGCCCAAUGGGCGCAAGCCUGAUGCAGCGACGCCGCGUGGGGGAUGACGGCCUUCGGGUUGUAAACUCCUUUCGCUAGGGACGAAGCUUUUUGUGACGGUACCUAGAGAAGAAGCACCGGCUAACUACGUG